rnacentral:rRNA from 1 species
GAUGAACGCUGGCGGCGUGCCUAAUACAUGCAAGUCGAGCGAACAGACGAGGAGCUUGCUCCUCUGACGUUAGCGGCGGACGGGUGAGUAACACGUGGAUAACCUACCUAUAAGACUGGGAUAACUUCGGGAAACCGGAGCUAAUACCGGAUAAUAUAUUGAACCGCAUGGUUCAAUAGUGAAAGACGGUUUUGCUGUCACUUAUAGAUGGAUCCGCGCCGCAUUAGCUAGUUGUUAAGGUAACGGCUUACCAAGGCAACGAUGCGUAGCCGACCUGAGAGGGUGAUCGGCAACACUGGAACUGAGACACGGUCCAGACUCCUACGGGAGGCAGCAGUAGGGAAUCUUCCGCAAUGGGCGAAAGCUUGACGGAGCAACGCCGCGUGAGUGAUGAAGGUCUGCGGAUCGUAAAACUCUGUUAUUAGGGAAGAACAAAUGUGUAAGUAACUAUGCACGUCUUGACGGUACCUAAUCAGAAAGCCACGGCUAACUACGUG